rnacentral:rRNA from 1 species
AGUGAACGCUGGCGGUAGGCCUAACACAUGCAAGUCGAACGGCAGCACAGUAAGAGCUUGCUCUUACGGGUGGCGAGUGGCGGACGGGUGAGGAAUACAUCGGAAUCUACUUUUUCGUGGGGGAUAACGUAGGGAAACUUACGCUAAUACCGCACACGACCUACGGGUGAAAGCAGGGGAUCUUCGGACCUUGCGCGAUUGAAUGAGCCGAUGUCGGAUUAGCUAGUUGGCGGGGUAAAGGCCCACCAAGGCGACGAUCCGUAGCUGGUCUGAGAGGAUGAUCAGCCACACUGGAACUGAGACACGGUCCAGACUCCUACGGGAGGCAGCAGUGGGGAAUAUUGGACAAUGGGCGCAAGCCUGAUCCAGCCAUACCGCGUGGGUGAAGAAGGACUUCGGGUUGUAAAGCCCUUUUGUUGGGAAAGAAAAGCAGCAGGUUAAUACCCCGCUGUUCUGACGGUACCCAAAGAAUAAGCACCGGCUAACUUCGUG